rnacentral:misc_RNA from 1 species
GAUGAAGAACGUAGCGAAAUGCGAUAAGUAGUGUGAAUUGCAGAAUUCAGUGAAUCAUCGAAUCUUUGAACGCACAUUGCGCCCGCCAGUAUUCUGGCGGGCAUGCCUGUUCGAGCGUCAUUUCAACCCUCAAGCACAGCUUGGUGUUGGGACUCGCGUUAAUUCGCGUUCCCCAAAUUGAUUGGCGGUCACGUCGAGCUUCCAUAGCGUAGUAGUAAAACCCUCGUUACUGGUAAUCGUCGCGGCCACGCCGUUAAACCCCAACUUCUGAAUGUUGACCUCGGAUCAGGUAGGAAUACCCGCUGAACUUAAGCAUAUCAAUAAGGGAGGA